rnacentral:rRNA from 1 species
GGGGAAUCUUGGACAAUGGGGGCAACCCUGAUCCAGCGACGCCGCGUGGGUGACGAAGGCCUUCGGGUUGUAAAGCCCUUUUCCCGGGGACGAUGAUGACGGUACCCGGGGAACAAGCACCGGCUAACUCCGUGCCAGCAGCCGCGGUAAGACGGAGGGUGCUAGCGGUGUUCGGAAUUACUGGGCGUAAAGGGCGCGUAGGCGGUCUCGUCAGUCGGGUGUGAAAGCCCGGGGCUCAACCCCGGAACGGCACCCGAGACGGCGGGACUGGAGACCGGGAGAGGAGGGUGGAAUAGCCAGUGUAGAGGUGAAAUUCGUAGAUAUUGGCUGGAACACCGGUGGCGAAAGCGGCUCUCUGGCCCGGUUCUGACGCUGAGGCGCGAAAGCGUGGGGAGCAAAC